UCAAACUUGGUCAUUUAGAGGAAGUAAAAGUCGUAACAAGGUUUCCGUAGGUGAACCUGCGGAAGGAUCAUUAACGAACGAGGAGCGAGCGAGACUGUAGCUGGCCUCAGUGAUCUUCGGGGCAUGUGCACGUCUCGCUCGUUUUUCCAACCCCCCUCUUCCUUACACCUCUGUGCACUUCUCAUGGGUUCGGGGCUCUGCACGCGGAAACGCGGUCGCGACCCCUCUCCUGUGUGCUCCCUACACACACGUCUGUUUGUCUCAGAAUGUCACCUGCCGUGCAGCGUCGAAAACUGCAUACGAAAUACAACUUUCAGCAACGGAUCUCUUGGCUCUCGCAUCGAUGAAGAACGCAGC
rnacentral:misc_RNA from 1 species